rfam:Streptomyces agglomeratus strain 6-3-2 2, whole genome shotgun sequence.
GAGAGCCCGUUGCGUUGAGAGACGCACGGCGGGUUCGGCGAGAGGUCCGGAGAAACGGACCGGGAGCAAUCCCGGCACCGCGCUCCGGGCCUACUCAGC